rnacentral:rRNA from 1 species
UAGUAUGAAAUACAAAUUAAUUUAUUUAAACUAAAAGCUUAGGAGUAAAAAAUAAAAGUUUUUAAAAAACUGAAAAGGAUAAUUUUAUUUAAUUUAAAAGAAAAAUUAAUGUACCUUUUGCAUAAGGGAUUUUCAAAAAAAAGUAAAUUUUUAUUUUUCUCGAACCAUUUUGAUCUAAAAUUUAAAACUCUUUUUAAUAUUUCAAUAUUAAAAUAAAAUUAAUUUUAGAGGUGAAAUUCUUUUCAAAAAAUGAGAUAACUAGUUUUUAAAUUUAACUUUAUGUUUCUUUGUAAUAAAAUUUACUUUUUAAAGUUACAAAGGAAAAAUUUUGGGAUAAGCUGAAAUUAAAUAAAUUUAAAAUUUUUAAGAAUUCAAAUUAAAGGAUUAAUAUUUUCCUAUUUAUUUUCACAAAUAAAUUUAUUUUUCUAUAAAGAAAUUUUUUUUUUAAAAAUUAAAUUGAAUAAAAAAUUUAAGUAAUAAUGAAAAUAUAAGUAAAAACUAAUAGAAGUUAAUUCUUUUUAAAAAUAAUUAAAAAAUUAAAAUAUUUUAAUUUUAAAGAAUUAGGCAAUUAAUUUUUCUGACUGUUUACUAAAAACAACACAUUUAGAAAAAAAAUAAAUGUAAAUCCUGCUCAAUGAACUUUUUAAAUUGCUGUAGUAUUUUGACUAUACAAAGGUAUUGAAAUAAGAUUUUAAUUGAAUGCUAAGAGAAUGGAAUUUCAGGGAAAAACUUUUUUAAAAUUAAAAAUUGAACUUUUUUUAAUUUGUGCAGAAACAAUUAUUUUAAUUAAGGACAAGAAGACCCUAAGAAUUUAUGAAUUUAAAUAAUAUAUUUUCAUAUUAAUUAAAUUUUGGCUGGGGCGGCUGAGAAAUAUUAAAAACUUUUUGUUUUAACAUGACCCAUUAUUAAUGAUUAAAUGAAAAAAUACUCUAGGGAUAACAGCGUUAUAUUUUUUGAUAGACCAUAUUGACAAAAAAGUUUGCGACCUCGAUGUUGGAUUAGGAUACUAUUUUAAUGAAGAUAUUAAAAUAAGAAGUUUGUUCAACUUUUAAAUUCCUACAUGAUCUGAGUUUAGACCGAUGAGAAUCAGGUUGGAUUCUAUCUUAAUAAUAAAAAAAUUUUAAUUAGUACGAAAGGAAUAUUAAAAUCUAAUUAUUAGGAAGAACAACUUUAUUUGCAUCAUUUUUUGUAAU